GAGGAAAGUCCAGGCUCUAUUUAGGAAAAUAUAGCUAUAUAAAUAUAGUGUAGGUAACUACGAGGAUAGUGCCACAGAAAAAAACCGCUUUGAAAUAAUUUUUUAUUUACUUUAAUGUAAGGGUGCAAUGGUAUGGUAAAAGCAUACCAGAAAUAUUAUUAAAAUAUUUGCUAGGUAAACCCCAUAUAAGAGCAAAGUAGUUAGUUUAUAAUAUCUUUUCUAUAUAUUUAUUUAAAAUAACUAACUUUUUAUAUACUGCCUAAAGUAAAAUUUUUAUUUAAGUUACUUUAGAUUAAUAAUUACCCUUUUUGUAUAUUGAUUUUUUAUUUUAUAAUUACAAUUAAGAACAAAACCUGGCUUAU
rnacentral:RNase_P_RNA from 1 species